UUGAAGAGUUUGAUCAUGGCUCAGAUUGAACGCUGGCGGCAGGCCUAACACAUGCAAGUCGAGCGGUAGCACAGAGAGCUUGCUCUCGGGUGACGAGCGGCGGACGGGUGAGUAAUGUCUGGGAAACUGCCUGAUGGAGGGGGAUAACUACUGGAAACGGUAGCUAAUACCGCAUAACGUCGCAAGACCAAAGUGGGGGACCUUCGGGCCUCAUGCCAUCAGAUGUGCCCAGAUGGGAUUAGCUAGUAGGUGGGGUAACGGCUCACCUAGGCGACGAUCCCUAGCUGGUCUGAGAGGAUGACCAGCCACACUGGAACUGAGACACGGUCCAGACUCCUACGGGAGGCAGCAGUGGGGAAUAUUGCACAAUGGGCGCAAGCCUGAUGCAGCCAUGCCGCGUGUGUGAAGAAGGCCUUCGGGUUGUAAAGCACUUUCAGCGGGGAGGAAGGCGUUAAGGUUAAUAACCUUGGCGAUUGACGUUACCCGCAGAAGAAGCACCGGCUAACUCCGUGCCAGCAGCCGCGGUAAUACGGAGGGUGCAAGCGUUAAUCGGAAUUACUGGGCGUAAAGCGCACGCAGGCGGUCUGUCAAGUCGGAUGUGAAAUCCCCGGGCUCAACCUGGGAACUGCAUUCGAAACUGGCAGGCUAGAGUCUUGUAGAGGGGGGGUAGAAUUCCAGGUGUAGCGGUGAAAUGCGUAGAGAUCUGGAGGAAUACCGGUGGCGAAGGCGGCCCCCUGGACAAAGACUGACGCUCAGGUGCGAAAGCGUGGGGAGCAAACAGGAUUAGAUACCCUGGUAGUCCACGCCGUAAACGAUGUCGAUUUGGAGGUUGUGCCCUUGAGGCGUGGCUUCCGGAGCUAACGCGUUAAAUCGACCGCCUGGGGAGUACGGCCGCAAGGUUAAAACUCAAAUGAAUUGACGGGGGCCCGCACAAGCGGUGGAGCAUGUGGUUUAAUUCGAUGCAACGCGAAGAACCUUACCUGGUCUUGACAUCCACAGAACUUUCCAGAGAUGGAUUGGUGCCUUCGGGAACUGUGAGACAGGUGCUGCAUGGCUGUCGUCAGCUCGUGUUGUGAAAUGUUGGGUUAAGUCCCGCAACGAGCGCAACCCUUAUCCUUUGUUGCCAGCGGUUCGGCCGGGAACUCAAAGGAGACUGCCAGUGAUAAACUGGAGGAAGGUGGGGAUGACGUCAAGUCAUCAUGGCCCUUACGACCAGGGCUACACACGUGCUACAAUGGCAUAUACAAAGAGAAGCGACCUCGCGAGAGCAAGCGGACCUCAUAAAGUAUGUCGUAGUCCGGAUUGGAGUCUGCAACUCGACUCCAUGAAGUCGGAAUCGCUAGUAAUCGUAGAUCAGAAUGCUACGGUGAAUACGUUCCCGGGCCUUGUACACACCGCCCGUCACACCAUGGGAGUGGGUUGCAAAAGAAGUAGGUAGCUUAACCUUCGGGAGGGCGCUUACCACUUUGUGAUUCAUGACUGGGGUGAAGUCGUAACAAGGUAACCGUAGGGGAACCUGCGGUUGGAUCACCUCCUU
rnacentral:rRNA from 1 species